rnacentral:rRNA from 1 species
GACGAACGCUGGCGGCGUGCUUAACACAUGCAAGUCGAACGGAAAGGCCCUGCUUUUGUGGGGUGCUCGAGUGACGAACGGGUGGGUAACACGUGAGUAACCUGCCCUUGACUUUGGGAUAACUUCAGGAAACUGGGGCUAAUACCGGAUAGGAGCUCCUGCUGCAUGGUGGGGGUUGGAAAGUUUCGGCGGUUGGGGAUGGACUCGCGGCUUAUCAGCUUGUUGGUGGGGUAGUGGCUUACCAAGGCUUUGACGGGUAGCCGGCCUGAGAGGGUGACCGGCCACAUGGGGACUGAGAUACGGCCCGGCCCCCUAGGGGGGGCAGCGGGGGGGAAAAUGGCAAAAGGGGGGGAGGCCUGAUGCAGCAACGCCGGGGGGGGGAUGACGGCCUUGGGGUUGUAAACCGCUUUCGCCUGGGACGAAGGGGGGGUGACGGAAAUGGGUAAAGAAGCCCCGGCUAACUACGU